ACACGUAAACAACCUGCCUUCAGGAUGGGGACGAACAGACGGAAACGACUGCUAAUACCGAAUAAGUUCCAAGAGCCGCAUGGCCCAUGGAAGAAAAGGUGGCCUCUACCUGUAAGCUAUCGCCUGAAGAGGGGUUUGCGUCUGAUUAGCUGGUUGGAGGGGUAACGGCCCACCAAGGCGACGAUCAGUAGCCGGUCUGAGAGGAUGAACGGCCACACUGGAACUGAGACACGGUUCAGACUCCUACGGGAGGCAGCAUG
rnacentral:rRNA from 1 species